rnacentral:lncRNA from 1 species
GGUCAAGAGUUAAAAAUGCUGACAGCUUCUCCUGUCCUUUCCGCAGCAGAGCCUGAGAUGGUCAGCGGCUGGCUCUUCAUUAAAGCAUAACUUUGACUCUUGGCAGAGGAGGGGUGAAAGUGGAACAAUGGGGAAGAUGAGGGUUUGUAUUUUGGUGGGUUAAUCUCCUUAGGGGAAAUAGCCAAGUGCUAGCUUUUUUCCCCUAAACCAAAAACCUCAGAAAAGAUACCAUUGCUCAUCUAUUGAAUGGGUGGGGGAGCAAGACUGAGAGUAAGAAUUAAGUAAAUAUGAUUUUGGAAAGGUGAGGCUCCUGUGGCUAAUGCAUCCAUGGCCAGUAUUUUCUAUUAGUCAUAGUAAUAUGACUCAAAUGGUCAUGUGAUGGAGAAUGUAUCACAAAGAUGCCAGGCAUGAUGACUAAUUUUAGGUGUUGACUUGAUUGGGCCAUGGAUUUCCCAGGUUAAAUAUUAUUUUGGGUAUGUCUGUGAGGAUGUUUCUGGAUGACAUUAGACUUUAAAUUGGUGGACUUUGUAAAGCAGAUUGCCCUCCCCAGUAUAGGUGGGCAUCAUCCAGUCCAUUGUGGGCUUGAAUAGAACAAAAAGGCAGAGAAAGGAGGACUUUUCCCCACUUUGCCUCCUGCCUGCCUUCUUGAGCUGGGACAUUGGUCUUCUCCUGCCUUUGGACUGGGGUUUAUACCAUCAACUCGCCUGAUUCUUGGGCCUUUGGACUUCAACUGGAAUUAUACCACCAGACAUUCUGGGUCUUCAGCUUGUAGACAAAAGAUCUAGGAACUUCUCUGCUUCCAUAAUCAUGUGCACCAAUUCCUCAUAAUAAAUCUUUUCCUACGUAUAUAAAUCCUAUUGGUUCUCUAUCUCUGGAGAACCCUGACUGAUACAUUGGGUGACCACAUUACUAUUCUUAAAAGUCACUGGGUAGCCCAAAUAGUCCUUGGGGGUAGGUGGCCGAAGAGACAGUAUGACCUUAAGACUGGAUGUAGAAGAUGCAUGGAAAGGACUCAGGACACUGUGCCUAUUGUUUCUGCUUCUGGGAACACUCUACUCCUAGAACUUUGCAUGCCUGAUUCCUCCUCAUCGUUCAGGCCUUGCCUAAAAAUAUCACCUUUUCGGAAGGGACUUUGGUGACCUGUCAAUGUACAGGCCUGAAUCAAUUUCUAUAACAUCACUGCAUUUUACUUACACCCCAGCACUCAUCACUACCUGAUUAAUACUUUUCUUAUUAAUUUAUUUUUUCAUCAUUUUCCCCUUAGUAAAAUGUAAGUGCCAUGGGUACAGAGAGCUUGUAAUGCUCAAUAAGGAAUCCCUAGUGUCCAACACAGUUUCAUACACCAGUAGAAACUCAACAAGUAUCUCAAAAUGAUCAACUGAAUGAAUGAAAUAUUGAAUUAAUAGCAGGUGCAAAGGAAACUAGUGGAGCUCAUUACAGUGAAACAUGCAUAAAAUGGACAGAAAGAAACCCUAGGGUGGUAACAUUCCACUAAGAGCAGCAGACGGACAUGGAAAAGCCCUCAGUUCAUCUAUAACAUGGACCAGUGCAGAACCACAAAUCAGGCUUGAUGUGUUGCUUGGCUCCAGAAGCUACCCUUCAUACAUACUCAACUCCACUAGGGCUGGGUUUGUGCUACUUACUGAAUAUUUUCACAGCCUCCAUAGGUUAACUGUAGCAAAGUGACUGCAAUUCAGAACUGUGAUUAUUUGUUAACUUACCUAUCUCAGUAACUAGUCCACAUGUUCCUAGAAAGACUGUGUCUUAUUCAUAAUAAGAAUAUUAUUAUGGGUCAUAGAAAGAAUGUUUAACAAAUAGUUGUGGAAUGGAUAAAUACAUGAAUAAUUACAUAGACAAUCCAUUUAUCACCUCAACCCAAUUGUUGACUCUCGUAUUAAUGCUUUCCACCUGUGUUUUGAGCCUAUCCCAGACUUUAGAUCUAGAAUGGCAAGUAGAUCUCAUCCUGUAUGCCAAUGGGUCAAUAUUAGUUGCUACAUAAAGAGAAGAAUCUCAAGGCUAGUUCUAGUUCAAAUGGAUAUGGGUACCAUGAUUGAUUAGUAAUGUCUGUAACUGGCAAGGAACAGAGGGGAGACAUGAAUUCCCUGUAUUUUCUAACUCGAACUUAUGACUUCCUUACUAGUGAAAAGUGAUUGCAUCUGACUCAGUUUUACCCAAACACCUCUUUAUAGUCAGUAUUUCAACUAAAUUCUUAAAUCACACUUGGUGAAUUUUAAACUCUCUAGCUUGAAUUCUCUUCUUUAUGAAGGGAUAUUUAAUAUUGUAAAUGCUGAGGACAGCAGUUGUGAAGGAGAAAGGAGGGAGAGGAGAUACAAAGGAGGAAGAAGUGAGGGAGGGAAAGUGGAAAAAUAGAACUCGAUGUUUAUAAAUUGAGAAAAACACAACAGAGGAGGGUCAUGGCAUGGAGGAUAGGUUAAGAGAAUAGCUAAAGAAAAAGGUAGAGUGGAAAUCUCCUCUUGGGUGGUAAUUGCAGCCAUGAAAUUUAAAAUAGGCCUAAUAAUACCUGAACCCUUUGAAGUCUGAGGGCUUAAAUCAGAUACUCUCUCAAGAUUUCAUCAGGUUCAUAGGUUAAAGAGUUCUGGGUUAAUUUUUUUCUUUCUUACUUCUUUGCUUAUGUUUCCUUUCUUUUCUAUUCUUUCUUGUUACCUCUUAACUUCUCUCCAUUCCUUUCCUCAUCUUUUUCUCCCUCCCUCCCCCUUCCUCUCUCUUUGCCUCUCUACCUCCCUUCCAUCUUUCCUUCCUUCCUCCUUUUCUUCUUUUUAAAUUUCCUUUCUUCUUCAUUCACCCAAAGUAUAAGAUUACUGUGCUAAUGCUUAAAGUAAUAUAGGCAGAUGAGAGACCCAUUUUUUACUCUUCACUGGUUCUUGAUUCCCUUGGGAGGACAAGAUUAGAGGCGUUCUAUAGCAUAAAACCUAAGUGUCUGGUGGUUUAAUGAAACAUGGAUUGUAAUCCCAUCUCUGCCAUUGGCUGCUUGGUGACUUUACCUCCAUGAGCCUUAUAGUUUCUUCAUCUAUAGAUCAAGGAUCAUAAUGACACCUUCUCUGUGGGGUAGUGGGAGAAAUGUAUGAGAUAAUGUUAUAAAAUCUUAAUGGAUAAAUAUCAGUUACCUUUUUAAGUAUUACUAUAUAAUACAACCUUUUGGAUCUUCAUUACUUGAAUGAGAUGUUUCCUCUUCUGUCUCCCCUGAAUGCUCAGCUUAUCCUCUUAGACUCUGCUACAAUUUCACAUUUUAUCCUUGCAUUUUCUUUUCUACUAUGUGCACAUAUGUUUAUUAUUUGCCCCUUAAAUGAGAUGAUGUUUCAUAAUCAGGUAUUAAUUAAGAUAUUCUUAGCAAUAAAGUAAGAUAGUAUCCGAGUAAAAUAGUUUAAUUGAUAAAGUUUCAUUACCUAACCUAAAGAGGAGUAGGAAAGUAGGAAGUUCCAGGUUAUUUAAUCCAAUGGAGCAAGGUGUCAACAGGGCCAGGCAUCAUUCCUUGUAGCCAUCUGCAGCCUGCUGGUAUUCACAUGAGACAUGUGCCCUCAUGUUAUCAAAUGGCUGCUGUGACACCAGCCCUUACAUUCUCAAAAUCUUUUACAGUGGCCUCCGAAGGACCUCCCCUUUUACCUCAUUGGCCAAGGUUGCAUCACAUGGCCAAGUCUAAAUCAAGCUCUUUCAAAAGGAAUAGAACUGCCUUUAUUGACUUGGACUGACCAAUAUUCACUUCUUGGCUUAGCCUGGAGUCAUCUUCCUAGAGAAGAUGGGAAAAUUAAUGUGAAUAAGAUCAAAGAUUUUCCAUUAUGGAAGAAGAAAACAGAAUUGAGGAGUUGGUUAUGCAACUAAGGAAGUCUUCUGUAAUUCACAUUUAUCUCUCAAACUCCCCAAAACUGCCAAUCACUUAGUAGUCUUUGAAGUAGUAGGUCUUUUGAAAUAUUUGUGUCAAGAAAACCCCAUUCUUAGAGUUCCUAUGGUGGCUUAGUGGUAAUGAACCUGAUUAGUAUCCAUGAGGAUACAAGUUCGAUCACUGGUCUUUCUCAGUAGCUUAAGGAUCCAGGGUUGUCAUGUGCUGUGGUCUAAGUUGCAAACAUUGCUCAGAUCUGACAUUGUUGUGGCUGUGGUACAGGCUGGCAACUACAGCUCCAAUUCAACCCCUAGCCUGGGAACCUCUACAUGCCAUGGGUACAGCCCUAAAAAAAAACAAAAAA